GAGUCACCAGCGGACAAGGUGAACGGGAAAGACGUCGCUCAGCUCGACGAUGCCUUUCAAGAGGCCUUUGAGAACUUACACAUCGGUAGCCCUGUCGUUCAUCAGCUGUUUUUGUUCCUGUCUGAGACGCAGAUCUCAAGAGGAAAAUCCGGAAAAGGACAAAAUAGAAAAAUGUACCAGAUCAGAGUCCCUCAUUGUAAGGGUUAUGGUGUCCAUUUUUACAGACAGCUGUCAAAGGUUGUGUUAAACCAGGCAAUUAAUUAAACUUAUUUAAAUGUGUCCA